rnacentral:rRNA from 1 species
ACGUACACUCCUACGGGAGGCAGCAGUGGGGAAUAUUGGACAAUGGGCGCAAGCCUGAUCCAGCCAUGCCGCGUGAGUGAUGAAGGCCCUAGGGUUGUAAAGCUCUUUCACCGGUGAAGAUAAUGACGGUAACCGGAGAAGAAGCCCCGGCUACCUUCGUGCCAGCAGCCGCGGUAAUACGAAGGGGGCUAGCGUUGUUCGGAUUUACUGGGCGUAAAGCGCACGUAGGCGGACUAUUAAGUCAGGGGUGAAAUCCCGGGGCUCAACCCCGGAACUGCCUUUGAUACUGGUAGUCUUGAGUUCGAGAGAGGUGAGUGGAAUUCCGAGUGUAGAGGUGAAAUUCGUAGAUAUUCGGAGGAACACCAGUGGCGAAGGCGGCUCACUGGCUCGAUACUGACGCUGAGGUGCGAAAGCGUGGGGAGCAAACAGGAUUAGAUACCCCAGUAGUCCC